CCUACGGGCGGCAGCAGUGGGGGAUAUUGCACAAUGGGGGAAACCCUGAUGCAGCGACGCCGCGUGUAGGAAGACGGUCCUCUGGAUUGUAAACUUCUGUCGCGAGGGAUGAAGAAUGACGGUACCUCGUAAGAAAGCCCCGGCAAACUACGUGCCAGCAGCCGCGGUAAUACGUAGGGGGCGAGCGUUGUCCGGAAUGACUGGGCGUAAAGGGAGUGUAGGCGGCAUAUUAAGUUAUGUGUGAAAGCCCGCGGCUCAACCGCGGAAUUGCACAUAAAACUGGUAAGCUGGAGUGCAGGAGAGGUAAGUGGAAUUCCCGGUGUAGCGGUGGAAUGCGUAGAUAUCGGGAGGAACACCAGAGGCGAAGGCGACUUACUGGACUGUAACUGACGCUGAGGCUCGAAAGCGUGGGGAGCAAACAGGAUUAGAUACCCUUGUAGUC
rnacentral:rRNA from 1 species